rnacentral:rRNA from 1 species
CGUAGGUGGCAAGCGUUGUCCGGAUUUAUUGGGUUUAAAGGGUGCGUAGGCGGUUAUAUAAGUCAGUGCUGAAAUAUCCCGGCUUAACCGGGAGGGUGGCAUUGAUACUGUAUGACUUGAGUAAAGUUGAGGUUGGCGGAAUUGACGGUGUAGCGGUGAAAUGCUUAGAUAUCGUCAAGAACACCGAUUGCGAAGGCAGCUAACUAAGCUUUAACUGACGCUGAGGCACGAAGUGUGGGGAUCAAACAGGAUUAGAUACCCUGGUAGUCCACACUGUAAACGUUGAUUACUCGCUGUUGGCGAUACACAGCCAGCGGCUAAGCGCAAGCGAUAAGUAAUCCACCUGGGGAUACGCCGGCAACGGUG